rnacentral:lncRNA from 1 species
AAGAAACCCAUGUCAUCAGGCUUAAGGCUCAUGUUUCAUAUUCUGUAGCUGAGGCGUCACAUGCUUUGUAGAUGACGUCACAUACUUUUCUCUGUCGAUGUAAAAUGUUUCCGUGGAAAGAACAAACUUCCUCCCUUCAACAUUGUGAAAUGUUUCUAUUUUUUUCAUACUCCUUAAACUGAAUCGCUGAUGACACACAGAAACCAGUGAUUCACAGCACACAGCUCAAGCACAAAUAUGUCCUACAUGAGGCUGGGAUAUUUAUACAUAGGCGACUGAUAUUUAUUACCACACUGAAUAUGACAAUCGCCAAUUGUGUGAACAGCACCUAAAGCUGCAGCUGACAGGCUGUGGGACGCUGCGUGGCGUGGGCUGCCAGCAGAGGGGGUCGUGGACCCACAGCAGCUGCAGAGAAGGCGAGACCGGUGUGUCACAGAACCGCCGUCAGGGAGUCGCAGCAGUGUGAAGCUAAUGCAGCUGGAUCUUGCCUAAUGACGCUGCGUUGUGGACGCCAACGUUUAGAAGGACGCAAUACGUUGCCGUGGAAACGGGCUCAUGUGGUCCUCAGACGUUCCCCAGGGGAGAAGUCCAGCUAAUGUGCCAGCCAAUAGGAGGCACAUCUGAGGAAUAAUGCUGUUAUUAUGUUAAUGAUCCUAAACAGCCUGCUUCAAAGGAGGUGGGUGUGGUGCGACAACCAGACCCUGGUGUAAACAACCCUCAUAUACAAUGUCACACACAAAGUACAGGGUUUUAUACUGGUUAUGGUUUGUCUGAAUUCAUCUAUCUCCAUGUUAAAUCCAUUUGAACCAGGUCAUAUACAACGAUGACAAUUUGAAUUCAACAUCAUAAACACCUUGUCUUUAUUGUGAACAUAAUUCUCAGAGGUCAGAUUAAUAAUUAGAUACUCAUGCACUUUGGCCUGAAUCAAUCAUUAUAUUAUAUUAUUAUGCACCUGGGCUUCUUUAAACAUGUUCACAUCUGUAAUGUUAU